GGAAUAUUGCACAAUGGGCGCAAGCCUGAUGCAGCCAUGCCGCGUGUGUGAAGAAGGCCUUCGGGUUGUAAAGCACUUUCAGUCGUGAGGAAGGUGGUGUCGUUAAUAGCGGCAUNAUUUGACGUUAGCGACAGAAGAAGCACCGGCUAACUCCGUGCCAGCAGCCGCGGUAAUACGGAGGGUGCGAGCGUUAAUCGGAAUUACUGGGCGUAAAGCGCAUGCAGGUGGUUUGUUAAGUCAGAUGUGAAAGCCCGGGGCUCAACCUCGGAAUAGCAUUUGAAACUGGCAGACUAGAGUACUGUAGAGGGGGGUAGAAUUUCAGGUGUAGCGGUGAAAUGCGUAGAGAUCUGAAGGAAUACCGGUGGCGAAGGCGGCCCCCUGGACAGAUACUGACACUCAGAUGCGAAAGCGUGGGGAGCAAACAGGAUUAGAUACCCUGGUAGUCCACGCCGUAAACGAUGUCUACUUGGAGGUUGUGGCCUUGAGCCGUGGCUUUCGGAGCUAACGCGUUAAGUAGACCGCCUGG
rnacentral:rRNA from 1 species